CUAUAGUGACCCAGACCACUUCAUCUCACUGUAGUGGUCUGGGUGCAGUGUUCCUGUCCUUUUAACACUGUAAUGUAAAAGAAACUGCAGUGUUUACAUUGUAGAGCUAAGUCCACCUAAUUUGGCCAAGUGUCACAGAAGCCCCCAUAGCAACUCAUUGAUUCAAUGUUUUCCAAUGUAGAAGCUUGAGUUUGUGCACGGCACUUGCCAUGCAUUAGGUCACCAAUGUUCCUCUAUAAGGAACACUAAAUUGGGCCAUCGCAAAGAAGCCAUGCCUCCUCUGUGAUGGUGCUGGAGACGGAGGAAAAAAGUAAGUUAAACUUUUGAGUUUUAUAAUUUGUAUUGCAAACUUGGGAGACCUGUGUAGAGCUAGCAUUAUAGCUAGGGGCACUAUAGCAUUAGAUAUGCAGGUUUAGGUGUAUAGUGAUGAAGUAGUGUUUGUGAGAAAUGCUAAAUCCAUAUAGUGCAAUCGAAUGCUUGUAUGUUUGUGCUAUGGUUCCUGUAAUGACAUGGUCUUGUUAUAUAAGGUGGACUAAAGGCUCCUGUAUUAAAAUAAAGAACAAUGGAGCAACCCUUGUGGGUGUCAUUUGUAAUGUUAAAUGCAGAGGAUAGAACUCCGGAGUUAAGGUUUCAGGCUGAAGGUAGCAAAAAGAGGACCAUAACUGAUUUCAGAAAAAUUCAAGAAAGCCAUAUCUGCAAAGUGUGGAGAGAAAAAAGGCGGUCUAGUGCUUUUUUUUUUUUAAUUCUUUAUUUUUGCAAACAAUAUAACAUAUUUCGUAGUACAUACAUUUACCACCUAGCUAAGCCUACUCAGUUUUUAUUAGUAAAGGCAAAUUCACCCAGGCUUCCCUAUCAGUGGUCCUUGGGUUUGUGACUGGGGGUGGAGGGGGCGUUGGUGUUGGGCUAUAUGUGCCUAUUUGGCCAAUAUGUGUUGCGCCCUGAUACAGAAGCCUUUGUAAGGCACGUAGUUAGGGUAUAAGUGGGCAUAGGACCUCUCGAAGCCGAGUAUGAGUUUCCUCUUUGUUGCGCUGGGGCAGGAGGUUGGGGUCACGUUCUAGGUACUCAGAAGACUGUUGUUUUUGCACAGAAGUGUCGCUUGCGAACUCUGUGCUGGUAUGGUGGGGAGGGAGUGGGGGCAUGGAUGCUUUGAUUCAGAGCUAUAUCUAAGAGCCAGCAACAUAAUAACAGAGGCAAAAUAUAUAAACGUUAUCAACAUCUAAGACGGUAUCGUGCACAGGGUAGUGCACAAGUAAGUUCAGUCCCAAAGUUCAGGGUGGUAGUGCCGUUGUCGUGGGUGCUCCCCCUCUGGGCACAAAUAGGGUGAUGUCUGCUACAUUCCAGACUGGGUGGUCUGCUGUCUGUGGCUUAGCUGCCGACAGGCCGAGGGCUUGCAGGAAGGUUGAUGCUUCAGCAGGGUGCGAGAUGGCGUGCAUUUUUCCUGCCUUAUUGGUUAGUAGUCUGCGGGAGCCCCAUUUGUAGGCAAUGGAAUUCUCUUGAAGAAUCUGGGUCUAGAGCAGGCACUGCUUGAGGGGAAAGGCAGGCACAUAAGCUCACGUCAUAUUCCCACCCCACCAUAUUUCAAGGGCUGCAGCCACAAUUUGGAACUGCAAUAAAGACACCAAUAAGAGUAAAAGAGCAGUGCUAGGUGGAAGUGUGCUACACACAUCAUGGUAAGAGAAGGGAUAUCAGCGAACAUAUACUUAAAAUGAACUAGAAAGAGGCAGCAGACACAUUAUAGCAGAGAUGAGCUUAGGGAGGAGAAUUCCACAUCUCCCUAAAUUCCAAUGAAGUAUUAGCCAACAAAACCAAUGUAUUCUUAUUAUGCAUCAUGGCUAUCCCAGAUUCAGGCUUGGCAUGCCCCUAUAGAUACAAAAGGAUGUGUCGAUCUUGAAUGUCUCCAAACCUAAAGGGGCACAAUAAAGUGGUCUGGGUGCAGUGGCCCUGUCCUCUUAGGCCUUUAAUCUAAAACACUGUCUCCCUGACCACCACUAGAGGUACUUGAGCUGCAACAAGUGUUUCACUCAGUCAUGUGACCUUGAACAUCAUUAAAUGCAGCUCAUAGGGAAGCAUUGAGCUCAAUGCUUCCCUAUUACAAGCAUUUGUUUAGACAUGCACACUGCGCUCACCUCUCUGAGGCUCUGAAAGAAGGGACCAAAGCCUAAAAAACUGUAUACAAAAUACCUGCACAUUUUUCAGAAUAUAAGAUGUGCCUAUAUAGUUAAACUAGAAAUUUAGAUAAAAGUAAUAAAACAACCAAUAACAUUUUGUAGUCCCCCUUAGUGUAUCACAUCCACUCUUUAGUGUCUUUUAACCCCUUAUAUGUCUUUUACGCCCAUAUUGUCUGAAGAUUCCCCCCCUCCUCCAAUUUUCCGCUGCAUGGAGACACUGAAUGUUCCUCAUAGAGAUGCAAUAGCCUCUCAUUGCUUUCCUAUGGGAAAGCAUUGCAUUGGCUGAGAUCGUCAAAUUUGUUGAUCUCAGCCAUACAGGCAGAGCAAGGUGGGGCCAGCUGCAGCGAGACCAGCACAACACUGGAAAAAGGGUAAGGUAACUUACCUUUUUAAUGUAAUGAGAGGAGCUGGAGACCUACAUUGUUAUUUUAUCACUAUAGUGUCAGGAAUACAGUUUGUGUUCCUGACACUAUAGUUUUCUGUUAAGCCCAUGUUCUACCUAAGUUGAACUUGAGGAAGGUAUAAUUGUAAGACUGAAACGUCUGCUCCUUGAAUGAAUAAAACUGCUAAAAUAGCAACAUUUGAGUGCCCGGACAUUUCCUUGCUUCCUUUUAAAGACAGAGUAUAGGUACAAAAAUAACUUAAUUAAGCAGUUUUGGUGUAUAGAUCAUACCCCUACAGUCUUACUGCACAAUUAUCUGCCAUUUAGGAGUUAAAUCUCAUUGCAAUUAACUUAUUUUUACAUUAUCUAUCUUUCAUAAAACCAUUCUGAUUUGUGUUAAAUAAUUAAGUGCUUGUGGUUGAAUACCAUCUGGCCUUGAGGAUUUGUUUACAUUAACUUUCUUUUGUUGCUGCGGCACCUUGUCUUGAGUAAUCCAAUCACAAUAUUUCUGCCGUUUUUUUUCCAGCAAUGAUUUACAGAUCUCUUGCUGUAGGUUCAUCUUUAAUAUAUACUGAAAAGUAAUUAUUUUAACCCACAAAAAUGGUCCUUAAGGACAAAUAUGAGCGCUGGAAGCAAUCGUGAUUUUUUUUCAACCGCUCUUUUAUUGCAGCGACACCUCGAAGUCCAGGCAUCCUGCAAUACCUCUCCUGACAGCCGGGCCUCCGAGGGAUUGCUGCACCGGAGAGAUCACUUCCGGGUUGCCCCAUGUGGCGCCCGGCAGUAUAGCAGAGUAUCGGAAGCCAUCAGGCAGGAUUCCGAUGCUCCUCUGCAUGUGUGCUGAGUGCCUUGAGGCACUCAAAUAAAUAAAUAAAAUACAUAAAUAUGGUAUUUUGGCCCCCAGAGAAAUAAUUAAAUAAAUUUUAAAAAGUAUUUUAGCCCCCAGAGAACCCGACACACCUGUACAUGGUUGGUUUUACUGUAUUCAAGAGAUGUUGCUGAACACAUAUUGGGGUGUUCUUUGGCAGUAACACAUAACAGGAGCUGCUAAUCCAUGUCUAAAGUACAAUGUUUGUGGAAAAAUAACACAAAAAAAUGACUUCCCAAAAGUUUGACAAAGACUGGUGGUAGAAUUAGUGCAUGGAAAGUGUUAAAACACCAACAUUUGAAAUAUCCUAGGGCAGUAAUGGCUAACCUUGACACCAUAAAUUAUUAUUUCUGGGCUACAUUUCUUUUGAUGCUCAGCUAACGUUUAGAGUCUAAAAGCUAGCUGAGCAUCAUGGGAAAUGUAGUCCAAAAACAAUUUAUGGUGUAAAGGUUAGCCAUCACUGUCCUAGGGUGUCUACUUUUCAAAAAUAUAUAGUUUAAUGGGGGUAAAUUACAUUGUCAGGCUUCAAAAAUGUCCCAAAUAGGGCAUGGGUGUAGGAUGACCAGCUGUGAAAAUUCCGAGCCUGGAAUGCGCACCCUCCAAAUAAGGUCUUUUAGCCCCCAGAGAACCCUACACACCUAUACAUGGGUAGUAUCAUUGUACUCAGGAGAUGUUGCUGGACACAUAUUGGGGUGUUCUUUGGCAGUAACCCUUAAAGUUCUCUGUAAAUUUAUUCUUAAAUUGCUAUGUGUGUCAAAAGAAUCACCAAUUAUUAUUAUUAUUUUUUCUAAAUUUGGCAUAGAUUGGUGGUAAAAUGGUUGCAUGAAAAGAGUCAAACUACCCCAAGGACAAAAUUUAGAAACUAUUUAGUAUGGGUACUUUAUGUCAGUUGUAGAUGCGUAACAGAUUUUGGGGGUCAAAGUUAGAAAAGGUGUGGGUUUUUUUGUUUUUUUUUUAAUUUCAUCAUAUUUUAUAAUUUAUUUUUUCUAUAGUAAUUAUAUGAUAUGAUGAAAAUAAUGGUAUCUUUAAAAAGACCAUUUAAUGUCAAGAACAACUGUAUAUAAUAUGUGUGGUAAAUGAGGAAGAGGGGUUAAAAUUUAGCUUUUUCCUAAUCUUCCUUUUCUAACAUCUCUGAUUUUAGUCAACCUACGCUUAAUUUUUUAUUUUUAUUUUUAGAAUUGAUGUACUUAAAAGCUUUAUGGGGUUAAUCGUGCCCUCUUUGGCUACUUCUUUUUUAAUUUUCUUGUUUAGCCUAUCUAAUAAUCUUUUUACAGGCUUUAUCAGCUUCUUUUCACAAGAUUUACAGAAUAUAGAUAAGCACUACAAAAUCCUAAAGCCAAUUAACUAAAAAACAGCAAAUACUAGGUGUAGGGACACCUCUAUGUCCCAACAAAAUGAGAUAACUCAACAAAGAAAGGUUGUACCAAAACAAAUAACUUAAAUAUAAAAAUACAGCAAACAAUGAAAGAUAAAGUAUAUAUUCCAAAUAUUCUUAUGUGGUUGGGUCCGUCCUCAUAAGGUGGAUAUGAAAGAAAAGUAAAAAAAAAAAAAAAAGAGAUACUGAAUGUGUAAUAUGUAAUACAGAGUUUGGUAACAAAUAACAAAAGUGUGUAGGUGCCCACUCACAGGUUAUAGAGCAAUCAUACAUGCUCUGGUAGUGACAGCAUGUAGUGGUACAAUCCCAACUAAUGGAUAUGCGAUAUACGUAGAUAUGGUCUCUCCUGUUAAUCACAGUGAAGUAUGUUAAGACAAAAAUAAUAUCCAAUACUGUAAUAUUUCCAAUAUAAAGUGCCAAAAAAAGAGGAAAUGCACUCACAAGGGUAGAGCUUUUAUUAAAGAUCACAUUUGCAGGUAUAAGUUGGUAAUGUUCUCAUCUAGGGAUAUAGCUGGUUCACAACUUAUUCUACAGUGUUCACAUAUAUGGAAGAAUAGAAAUGGUAUAUAGUGCUCUCAGUAUAUACAGUUGCAAGAAAACGUAUGUGAACCCUUUGGAAUGAUAUGGAUUUCUGCACAAAUUGGUCAUAAAAUGUGAUCUGAUCAUCAUCUAAGUCAUAACAAUAGACAAUCACAGUCUGCUUAAACUAAUAAACAAAGAAUGAAAUGUUGCCAUUUUUUUAUUGAACACACCAUGUAAACAUUCACAGUGCAGGUGGAAAAAGAAUGUGAACCCCUAGACUAAUGACAUCUCCAAGAGGUAAUUGGAGUGAAAUGUCAGCCAACUGGAGUCCAAUCAUGAGAUAAGAUUGGAGGUGUUGGUUACAGCUACCCAGCCCUAUAAAAAACACACACCAGUUCUGGGUUUACUUUUCACAAGAAGCAUUGCCUGAUGUGAAUGAUGCCUCGCACAAAAGAGCUCUCAGAAGACCUACGAUUAAGAAUUGUUGACUUGCAUAAAGCUGGAAAGGGUUAUAAAAGUAUCUCCAAAAGCCUUGCUGUUCAUCAGUCCACGGUAAGACAAAUUGUCUAUAAAUGGAGAAAGUUCAGCACUGCUGCUACUUUCCCUAGGAGUGGCCAUCCUGUGAAGAUGACUGCAAGAGCACAGCGCAACUGCUCAAUGAGGUGAAGAAGAAUCCUAGAGUGUGAGCUAAAGAUUUACAAAAGUCACUGGCAAAUGCUAACAUCCCUGUUAGCGAAUCUACAAUACGUAAAACAUUAAACAAGAAUGGAUUUCAUGGGAGGAUACCACAGAGGAAGCCACUGCUGUUCAAACAAUACAUUGCUGCACGUUUACAGUUUGCACAAGAACACCUGGAUGUUCCACAGCAGUACUGGCAAAAUAUUCUGUGGACAGAUGAAACCAAAGUUGAGUUGUUUGGAAGAAACACACAACACUAUGUGUGGCGAAAAAAAGGCACAACACACCAACAUCAAAACCUCAUCCCAACUGUGAAGUAUGGUGGUGGGGGCAUUAUGGUUUGGGGCUGCUUUGCUGCGUCAGGGCCUGGACGGAUUGCUAUCAUCGAUGGAAAACUGAAUUCCCAAGUUUAUCAAGACAUUUUGCAGGAGAACUUAAGGCCAUCUGUCUACCAGCUGAAGCUCAACUGUAGAUGGCUGUUUCAACAGGACAAUGACCCAAAGCACAGAAGUAAAUCAACAACAGAAUGGUUUAAACAGAAGAAAGUACGCCUUCUGAAGUGGCCUCAACCCGAUUGAGAUGCUGUGGCAUGACCUCAAGAAAGCGAUUCACACCAGACAUCCCAAGAAUAUUGCUGAACUGAAACAGUUCUGUAAAGAGGAAUGGUCAAGAAUUACUCCUGACCGUUGUGCACGUCUGAUCUGCAACUACAGGAAACGUUUGGUUAAAGUUAUUGCUGCCAAAGGAGGUUCAACCAGUUAUUAAAUCCAAGGGUUCACAUACUUUUUCCACCUGCACUGUGAAUGUUUACAUGGUGUGUUCAAUAAAAAUAUGGCAACAUUUCAUUAUUUGUGUGUUAUUAGUUUAAGCAGACUGUGAUUGUGUAUUGUUGUGACUUAGAUGAUGAUCAGAUCACAUUUUAUGACCAAUUUGUGCAGAAAUCCAUAUCAUUCCAAACGGUUCACAUACUUUUUCUUGCAACUGUAUGUACAUAGGAAGAUAGAUGGAAAAGUACGUACAUUGUUUGGAGCAGUAAGAUUGCUCUGUUUUGAUAGUGUAGGUUGUACAUAUUAGAAAUGUAUACUUCUCACUAUAUACCACUAUAACCGCAUUGAAACCCAUGUGGUUUAGUUGGAAGGUAAGCAUAGGAAUUAAAAAUAAGAAAAGGGUAUUUAAAUCAGAUAAAUCAGAGGUCUCCUAUAUAAAAUACAAUGAAGCUAAUUAAAAAAGAUAUAAGAAGCAGGUUGUGCCAAAACAAAUAUGAAAAAUAUAAAAAUACAACGAACAAUCAAAGAUAAAAUAUAUAGUCCAGAUGUUGUUCUAAUGGCCUGAGUUCUUAUGUAGUUGGAUCCAUCCUCAUAAGGUGCAUAUGAAAGAAAAGAGAAAACCGGGAUAGUGACAGUGUAGUAUGUAGCACAGUGAGUGGAAAACAAACAAACAAACGUAAGCGCCACUCACAUGUUAUGAAGCUAUCAUACUAGCUCUGGUAGAGACAGCAUGUAGUGGUACAAUUCAGACUAAUGGGUAUGCAUGUAGAAAUGGUCUGUCCCAUGAAUCAAAGUGAAAUAUGUAAAGAGAGAAAUAACAUUCAAUAGUGUAAUAUUGCCAGCAAAAGUGACUAAAGUUCCAAAAAAUAGGAAAUGCACUUACAAUGCUAGAGGUUUGUUUUUUUCAAGCAUAGUGCAAGCAUGUGCUGCGUUUGCUAGUGACUUGUGUCCCCAAUAGUGGGAUACCAGGGAACAAAAGUGGAACAGUUAAAAGUGUUUUGUGCAUGUGUGGUAUGCUCCCUGUGCUGUUGUAUGUCAAAGCAGACAUUGUGUUGUAGUCUAUAAAGGGGUCUAUAUGUGUGGCUAGGGACUGUAGUGUGUGUGUUUCUGGGUUGUACAGUAUGUGUGUAAAGUGUGUUUGUGUGUUAGUAAGUGCAGGGGUGUAGUAUGUAUAUAGGGAACUUCUUAAGAGUGUGUUUGUGUGUAUAUAGGGAGUGUAGCAUUUGAGAAGUGUGUUGGCAUGUAUGUGCAGGCGGCAUAGUGUGUGUGUGUAGUUUGUGUAAGUGCAAAGGGUGUUGUGUGUUAAUAGGGGGUAUAGAGUGUGUGUAGUGUGUUUGUGUGUAGUGCCUAUAUAAGGGGUUGGAUUAAGGGAAAUGGAGCACCCUGAUCCCUGGUGGUCCAGUGGGCUCAAUAUGUGUUCUGUACCACCACAUGGUACAGACCAUGUCUCUCCCUGUUACAAGUGCCGGUGUUUCAGAGCAUUGCCAUGGGUUAUCAUGGCAAUGCUCUGACAAUAUCAGAGGAAAUGAGGAGAUGCUGCCCUUCAUACUGCAGAGAGGCCUCCUGGCUCACUUUCCUCUGGUGACCCAAUCUCCCCUCUGACCCAUGAUGAAACAGAGCUCCCUCUAAGGGCCGAUACUGUACAACUUGGGCCGCCAGCCUCAGCCCAUGACCAUCGUGGCCCACUGGGCAUUUGCCCUGUUUCUCAGAUGGCCAGUCAGGGCCUAAUGAUGUGACACUAAUGAUGCCCAUAGUGAGUGGGCCCACCUGGAAAACUACCUACCGAAGGAGCCUGUCUUACAGGCCACCAGCCUGCAUUGCUUUGCAGGGAGAGCUGCUGAAGCACUCCUAGUGCCAAUGCUCAGUACAAGCACAUGUAAGGAUGCGUUUAUGCUGUGCUGUCCGACUACAGUUUUCUGGUGUCCCAACUAAAUCUGGAAUGUGGGAUAGGACUGUUGGGGUACCUGACCUUAAGUGAUCAGGAAUUACUGUCCCUUUCCUCCCUCGUGAGCCAUUGUAUGUCAUAUCAUAUGUGAUAGAAAAAUAUACGCCAGAUAUCUUCAGAUCUGUGAAAACAGGCACAGAAUGAUAGGUAAGAAGGACAAACCUAUAAUCAAAGAAGACACCCCCCGAAAAUAACUAUUGGGAUGUUUGUUUGUUUGUUUGCAUGAUGAAGAAAAACCCCUGCUCUCUAGAACUUACUUACCUUUCCAGUUAUUAUUAAUCAACCCCAUACUGUUACUUAAAACAAACUUAAACAAUCCAAGUAUUCAUUGUCUCAUAACAGCAUCACUACAUAAUUUAACCCUAAAAUGUUUCUUACAUAAAGAAAAAGGAAAUCUAAAACUGAAUAAAAUUCUUCUAAAAAAAUAUUUUCAAACAUAUUACUAAAUGCAUUUUUUUUCAAACCAUGGACUAUUAAAUGUUAUGAAAGGAGCAAUAAGACCUUUCUACUAAACAUCAUAAACAAUAAUAUUUGUUCAGGAAGAAUCCCCCAAAGCAGGGGUGCCCAAAAGGUAGACCCCCCAGAGGUUGUACAACUACAGCAUCCAUGAUGCAUUCUAAAGGCACGAAAAGCAUAAUGGGAGUUAUAGUUUUAUUACAUCUGGGGAUCUGCCUUUUGGGCUCCCCUGCCCUAUAGGCUUUCAUUACCUCCCCAUAUGUCACUGUUUUAUUUGUUUUUAUUGACAACUUGUAGGAAGAUUUUUUUUUCCCUGUACAGUAAAUCAAAUAUGAGUAAAGUCACUAUUGUAUUUUUGUUUGCUCUCUCCAUUAUGGGAAGAAUAUGAAUUUCAUUCCUUUUGCCAGUCCUAGAAAUCUGAGAUUCUGAUCCAUCUACACUAAAAGUCAAUCCAUUGAUCCUUUUGCAACAGCAGUAAAUAUCAACUGUGUUCUCUACAAUUGUAAAUGUUAUUAGCAAAUAUGAUAAUUUCGUUUGCAAACACAUCCAAUGAAUAUGAAGUAGGCUUCUACGCAAUAUACCUAGGUUUAUGCAAGCUGGCAUAUAACAGGCCAAAUGCUGGUCAAAUUGUAAAGGUUCUAACGGCUAUGUUUAUGAUAUGUAUAUUUACUAUGUGUUUUUGGUUUUUUUCUAAUAAAUUAUUGCCAACAUCA